rnacentral:rRNA from 1 species
AUACGUAGGUGACAAGCGUUAUCCGGAUUUACUGGGCGUAAAGGGCGUGUAGGCGGUCUUGCAAGUCAGAAGUGAAAUUCCUGAGCUCAACUCGGGCGCUGCUUCUGAAACUGCAGGACUUGAGUGCUGGAGGGGAUAGCGGAAUUCCUAGUGGAGCGGUAAAAUGCGCAGAUAUUAGGAAGAACACCGGUGGCGAAGGCGGCUAUCUGGACAGUAACUGACGCUGAGGCGCGAAAGUGUGGGGAGCAAACAGGAUUAGAUACCCUGGUAGUCCACACUGUAAACGAUGAAUGCUAGGUGUAGGGGGUAUCGACCCCUUCUGUGCCGCAGUCAACACAAUAAGCAUUCCGCCUGGGGAGUACGGCCGCAAGGUUGAAACUCAAAGGAAUUGACGGGG